GAUGAACGCUAGCGGUAUGCUUAACACAUGCAAGUCGUACGGGAGUUUUUAACUCAAGUGGCGGACGGGUGAGUAACACGUGAGAAUUUACCUUUAGGAGGGGAUAACAAUUGGAAACGAUUGCUAAUACCCCAUAUGCUUUUUUAAGUGAAACGGAUUUAUUCGCCUAAAGAAAAGCUCGCGGCUGAUUAGCUAGUUGGUAAGGUAAUGGCUUACCAAGGCGACGAUCAGUAUCUGGUUUGAGAGGAUGAUCAGACACACUGGAACUGAGACACGGUCCAGACUCCUACGGGAGGCAGCAGUGGGAAUUUCCGCAAUGGGCGAAAGCCUGACGGAGCAAAUACCGCGUGAGGGAAGAAAGCCUACUGGGUUGUAAACCUCUUUUUUUCAGGGAGGAAAAAAAUGACGUGUACCUGAAGAAUAAGCAUCGGCUAACUCCGUGCCAGCAGCCGCGGUAAAGUGACUAACC
rnacentral:rRNA from 1 species